AUUGAACGCUGGCGGCAGGCCUAACACAUGCAAGUCGAGCGGAUGAAGGGAGCUUGCUCCUGGAUUCAGCGGCGGACGGGUGAGUAAUGCCUAGGAAUCUGCCUGGUAGUUGGGGAUAACGUCCGGACACGGGCGCUAAUACCGCAUACGUCCAGAGGGAGAAAGUGGGGGAUCUUCGGACCUCACGCUAUCAGAUGAGCCUAGGUCGGAUUAGCUAGUUGGUGGGGUAAAGGCCUACCAAGGCGACGAUCCGUAACUGGUCUGAGAGGAUGAUCAGUCACACUGGAACUGAGACACGGUCCAGACUCCUACGGGAGGCAGCAGUGGGGAAUAUUGGACAAAGGGCGAAAGCCUGAUCCAGCCAUGCCGCGUGUGUGAAGAAGGUCUUCGGAUUGUAAAGCACUUUAAGUUGGGAGGAAGGGCAGUAAGUUAAUACCUUGCUGUUUUGACGGUACCAACAGAAUAAGCACCGGCUAACUUCGUG
rnacentral:rRNA from 1 species